GUGGGGAAUAUUGGGCAAUGGGCGAAAGCCUGACCCAGCAACGCCGCGUGAAGGAAGAAGGUCUUCGGAUCGUAAACUUCUAUCCUUGGUGAAGAUAAUGACGGUAGCCGAGAAGGAAGCCCCGGCUAACUACGUGCCAGCAGCCGCGGUAAUACGUAGGGGGCAAGCGUUGUCCGGAAUGAUUGGGCGUAAAGGGUGCGUAGGCGACAAGGCAAGUCAGGUGUGAAAUUCCCGGGCUCAACUCGGGGGGUGCAUUUGAAACUGCUUUGCUUGAGUGCAGGAGAGGAAAGCGGAAUUCCUAGUGUAGCGGUGAAAUGCGUAGAGAUUUGGAUGAACACCAGUGGCGAAGGCGACUUUCUGGACGAUGUCUGACGCUGAGGCGCGAAAGCUAGGGGAGCGAACGGGAUUAGAUACCCGUGUAGUCC
rnacentral:rRNA from 1 species